rnacentral:rRNA from 1 species
AUACGGAGGAUGCGAGCGUUAUCCGGAUUUAUUGGGUUUAAAGGGUGCGUAGGCGGACAGUUAAGUCAGCGGUGAAACGCAGGUGCUCAACACCUGACCUGCCGUUGCGACUGGUUUUCUAGAAUGCGGAUGCUGUGGGAGGAAUGUGUGGUGUAGCGGUGAAAUGCAUAGAUAUCACACAGAACACCGAUUGCGAAGGCAUCUCACAAGGCCGCGAUUGACGCUGAGGCACGAAGGUGCGGGGAUCGAACAGGAUUAGAUACCCUGGUAGUCCGCACAGUAAACGAUGAUAACUCGCUGUCGGCGAUAGACAGUCGGUGGCCAAGCGAAAGCGAUAAGUUAUCCACCUGGGGAGUACGACCGCAAGGUUGAAACUCAAAUGAAUUGGCGGGG